rnacentral:rRNA from 1 species
GGGUGCCAGCAGCGCGGUAAUACAGCUGCAAUAGCGUAUAUUAAAGUUGUUGCAGUAAAAAAGCUGGUAGUAGGAUUCUGUUAAUAAUUUAUAUAAAAUAUUAUGAUGAAUAUUUAUAUAAUAUUAACAUAAUUCAUAUUACUAUAUUUUUUAGUAUAUGAAAUUUUACUUUGAGAAAAUUAGAGUGCUUAAAGCAGGCAUAUGCCUUGAAUACUCCAGCAUGGAAUAAUAUUAAAGAUUUUUAUCUUUCUUAUUGGUUCUAAGAUAAGAAUAAUGAUUAAUAGGGACAGUUGGGGGCAUUUGUAUUUAACAGUCAGAGGUGAAAUUCUUAGAUUUGUUAAAGACAAACUAAUGCGAAAGCAUUUGCCAAGGAUGUUUUCAUUAAUCAAGAACGAAAGUUAGGGGAUCGAAGACGAUCAGAUACCGUCGUGUCUAACCAUAAAC